UUUCUUCCAUUUUCAAAGAACACACGCACAUAGAGCCAUAAAAUUCUUCAUAUUUUUCCUUCUUUCAUAUACACCCACACCACACACACAGAACAUGCACGCAACAAUAUACUCUUACCCACAUAGAGAUCCAAAUCAAGAGAGUGGUAGGAUAGAGGAAAGAGACGCGAGGGAGAUAGCGGAAAAGGGGGAAGUGAUUGGAAAAAAGGAACUGAGCGAGAGAGAGGGGAAAAAAGAUGUAGGCUGACUAUUUCCGGUGAUCUUUCGCUGAAAACUAGCCAAAAUCCGACACUGGAGAAUACCAUUGAUCUCUAAAAUCACCUAAAAAUUGACCAAAAUUCAGUUCAGGUGAGGUUUUCUUCAUUUUUUUGGUGAAUUCCGUUAAAGUUUUGUUAGAAAACGACAAACCAGCUGACUGUUCCUAACCAACUACCACCGUAAAUAGUCAAAACUACCAUAAACAGCUCGGCUCCAAUGAAAUUGAACAGAAAAUGAGCUACACAGUGACGUUUAUGCAUGAAAUCGGGUUCAGGUGUGGUCUAUCUUUCGCGAUAUCUAUUCAACUCAACUUGGUUUUUGAUUUCGUGAUUUCCCUAUUGGGUUCUGAUUUGAACGGAGCUUAGGUCAAAGUUUGUUGAUUUGGGGAUCGUAUAUGAGGUUCGAGUCGAGGUUUUUCUGUUGUGGGUCUAUCUUCAAUAUAUCGAAACCGACAAUUGAG
rnacentral:lncRNA from 1 species